GACGUAGGGCGCGAGCGUUGUCCGGAUUUAUUGGGCGUAAAGAGCUCGUAGGCGGCUUGUCGCGUCGUCCGUGAAAACCUGCGGCUCAACUGCAGGCUGGCGGUCGAUACGGGCAGGCUGGAGUUCGGUAGGGGAGACUGGAAUUCCUGGUGUAGCGGUGAAAUGCGUAGAUAUCAAGAGGAACACCUGAGGUGAAGACGGGUUGCUGGGCUGACACUGACGCUGAUAGCGCGAAAGCCAGGGGAGCAAACGGG
rnacentral:rRNA from 1 species